UACGUAGGGGGCAAGCGUUGUCCGGAUUUAUUGGGCGUAAAGAGCGUGUAGGCGGCUAGGUAGGUCCGUUGUGAAAACUCGAGGCUCAACCUCGAGACGUCGAUGGAAACCAUCUAGCUAGAGUCCGGAAGAGGAGAGUGGAAUUCCUGGUGGUAGCGGUGAAAUGCGCAGAUAUCAGGAAGAACACCCGUGGCGAAGGCGGCUCUCUGGUACGUGACUGACGCUGAGACGCGAAAGCGUGGGGAGCGAACAGG
rnacentral:rRNA from 1 species